rnacentral:lncRNA from 1 species
ACCAUUGGAUGGCUUGAAUGGUGGGUUGGGCUUUUCGAUGAGCAUGGUCUUCUGCUCAAUCGGCUCAGGAGUGGAUUUUACGUGGGCAGAAGGCAGAGUUAGGGCAGAUGGGGGAGGAGAAGGUGGUUUGAUUUUCUCAGAGGGAGGUGUGGUUUUCUGACUCGCAUAAGAUGGAACCGAUGAAACAUUUCCAACCUGGAAAGGUGGCGCUGCAGUAGCAGCAGUCUGUGGUUGUGGUGGCAGCUGUUGAGGCUGGGUUGAAGACUUAAGUGCUUGACCAAAUGUAGGUCGAAAAAUAGGACGAGGGACAGGAGGUUGAGGUUGAGGUUGAGCCUGAGGCUGAGCCUCGGGCGCUGGGGGUGGGGCUACUGGCCUCAGGGAACCCAGAAUGAGCCAUUGGCGAGAUGGGAGGGGCUGGUUUGCCAUGAUCCAACAGAAUUAAUCUGAAGCAAGUCGCCUAAGGAACCCAAAUGCUCAACCUGAACAAGAGACCAAGGAAUGGGCACAGAAAAUAAGUUUCAAGAACUCGGUAUUUAUAAGUCCAACACCCAGAAAAAGAGAAAAAGCAGAACACAUAAAAUUCUAAUACUAGUGCUCAAAACGCAUAAACAACUAUAUGCAGAUAGAAGGGUAUCGUACGGAAUGUUCUCUUGAGAUUGACCAUACCAUGAAAGUACAUCUGCUUCCUAAGCCAGUCUAGAAGCAGGGAAUUCCCUGUAGGAGUUGACUCAGCGAUCAUGACACAUUGCCCUCGUUACUCUUUUUGAGCCAUCAACACAUGACGCGGGAAUGAGAAGCUUCUUUGGAAUUUGCGUGCCCAAAAGUGAUGAUGUUUCAAAUGUCGCGAAGAGGCAUUCAGGGUAUUUCAUUUCUAUCCUCUGUAGAGUAAGGGAAAAUAUUAGAUUGGGAGUUUUUUUUUUUUUUUUUUCUUUUCUAGAAGUCAUUUUGUUCUUUCCUCCUUGUGUUUUGCAGAAAACAUGUCGGGAUGCAGAAUAAUAGAAUGGAUGUUAUAGGAUCUGAUCGGGUUGUCCAAAUUCGUGAUCAGAGUCAUAGUAGAAUGUUGGAUGAGAUAUUAAUAGAUACAUCAGUAAUUCAACUUUAUUAAUAUAUCAGGAUAUAUUAAAAAAUAUUAGUAGAUAUUUUAACUUAAAAUAUCGAUAAUAUAAAAAUUAAUGAAAAUUAUAAAAAUAUUAAAAACAACUCUAAAAGAUUAUAUAAGAAGUAAAAAUAAACAUUUUUUUGGCAAAAAUUGAUAUAUGUAAUUUGUCAUAUUUAAUGAUAAUAGCGUUUAUGUUGAUAAAAAAUAUAAAUUUUAUAAAUUUAUAUUUAUUAUUAAGUUACAUUAUAUAUUAUUUUAUAAUAAUAUUAUGAUAAUAUGGAUAAUUUUAAAAUAUAUUUACUAUUAAAAUUAUAAUUUUUUGAUUUUAAGAUCGGGAGGAAUUAUUAAGUAAAAAUAAUUCUUUAAUUACAUCAUGUUCUUGAAUUAUUUUAUUAUUUGUCAUAUUUUACUUGUAACUAUUUACAUCCUACGUAGAUAUUAUCUACUUUUAAUCCAAAAAAACCUUUACAACUUUAAAAUGCAUUCAUAUCGUUAAGAGGAGAAAAUAGACACCCUUUAUGGGGCUAAACAAAUCCCUACUCAGAAUCAAGGAUUGGUUUUGAUAGCAUUUAUAAUAAUCUACACUUAAUUGUAUAAAUAUUGUCUACUUUGAAUCCAAAAGAGUUUUCAUAGUUUUAAAAUAUGUCUUCAUAUAAGUUAAAAGGAACUCAUAUUUAUAUACCACAAAAAAUUUUCUCUUAUAUUCAAUAUGAGAUAUCAUAUUACUUUCUCAUGAGUUUGUUCUUUGAGUGUGCAGAUAUUACAAAAGUUGAAAUUCAUUACAUAAGGAAAGCUUUAUUUUGGUUUGAGUCAAGUUUUUUUUUUUUAGAGUUAUGAAAGGCCUUGUUGUAACUAUUUAUUUUGUCAUAAUAUUGCUAAAGGGGAUAUUGUUGAUAUAUCAGGGUUAGGUGAUAAUUUUAUUUCAUUUCUUACUAAUUAUAUACUAUAUACUUUUGUGGGUCUUAUCGUUAUCAAUUUAACUUAAGAUUUUAUCAAACUUGACUUGUACAUAUUCAAAAUCACCAAUGUUGACAUAAGUAGGCAUUUAUGUUUAAUAAAGAUUAUAGAAUGGCUAACACAUGAAAAUGAGAUAGAAAUUUCAACUGCAAAAUAAAAAAGUUAAUAAUGGUCGGGACAACAAUCAAAUGAUAUGAGGAAGUUCAAACGUCUUCAAGGAGUUCAAAUGCCCAUAUUCAGACGUCCCUUAUGGGUGUUCAAACGUUUGGUCUUCCCAUUUACAUGUCUAAUUGAAGGUUCAUGUAGAGUUCAAAACGGCCCAAAACAAAGGCAUGCAAGCACCCAAUAAUUAUAUAUAGCGCAUAUCACUUGCUGUAAAGAUACAAAGAAAUUAAAAAAAUGAGGGGUAAAAAACAACUUCAAAUUUAGUAUUAAUGUGUGAAAACUGACAGCAUACGGUACAAGGGGAUCAAAUUCAAACCGUACACUCAAUACUAAUACAAAACAAGUGCAAACUACAACUUUUAUUUCUUCCCCCAUUCACCAUCAACUCACUCAUACAAACACAUAAAUAUUCAAAUCAGGACAUGGAUCACCAACAUAGGUUACAUGCCAUCUGAAUAUCUGGAACACAAACGUGGAGAAUCAGAACCCGGGCCUUUUUCUCAUCACCAGUCACUUUUAUUUAUUCUCUUACAUAUACAUCCUUAAUUAAUUUUAUGCAUGCAAGCUGUUUUAUUUUUGCCCAUCUCCAUAGUCUUUGAGAUGCAGUCCACGGCCACCACCACGAGAGAAAAAAACAUGGACACCAGGCUCGUGGUUGGUGCAAGAGGCGUUCACGAGAAUGGAGUUGUUAACGGCUUGAACAUUGCUAUUCAUAAAUAUAUUCAAGAGUGGUGAUGGGGUCGCCAUUGUGUUGGAGUUGCCUUGGGGAUCGUGUUUCUUGCUGGCGGGGUUGAGCUCCAUUAUAGCUCCCUUGUUGUCUCCUGCAAUUGUUGUGAUCUUCAUGCUGUUAUCCUUAGAGUGCGCUUUCUUGUGAUUACCUUCGUGGUCUUUGCUCUCCAUGUCCUUGGUCUUCUCAAUCUUCUCGUAGUCAAGGACUCUGCUUGGAUUCACAGUGUCGCCCACAUCCUUUUGCAGUCCACCAUUGGAUGGCUUGAAUGGUGGAUUGGGCUUUUCGAUGGUCAUGGUCUUCUGCUCAAUUGGCUCAGGAGUGGAUUUUACGUAAGCAGGAGGCAGAGUUAGAGCUCAUGGGGGAGGAGAAGUUGGUUUGAUUUUCUCAGAAGGAGGUGUGGUUUUCUGACUCGGAUUAGAUGGAACCGAUGAAACAUUCCCAACCCGGAAAGGUGGAGCUGCAGUAGCAGCAGUGGGUGGUUGUGGCGGAGGCUGCUGAGGCUGGGUUGUAGGCCUAAAUGCCUGACCAAAUGUGGGUCGAAAAAUAGGACGAGGGACAGGAGGUUGAGGUUGAGCCUGAGGCUGAGCUUGUGAUGCUGCCGCAGGUGCUGGAGGUGUGGCGACUGGCCUCAUGGAACCCAGGAUGAGCCAUGGGCGAGAAGGGGGAGGCUGGUUUGCCAUAAUCCAAUAGAAUCAAUCUGAAGCAAGUAGCCCAAAUACUUAACCUGAACAAGAGAUCAAGGAAUUGGCACAGAAAAUAAGUUUCAGGAACUCGGUAUUUAUAAGUUCUGCACCCCUCAAAAAAAAUGCAAAACAUAUCUAGAACUCCAAUAGUACUAGUGCUCAAAACACAUGGGAAACUAUAUGCAGCCGGAGAGAGGAAAUAAGAACAAAAAAAAAAAGCAUCCGAUUCAGGAGAUUGCACCCUCGUAUGGGUUUCGAUCUUCUGGAUUGUUUAAGGAGAGUUGGCCUCCUUUUUGGGUUUCAUACGGAAUGUCCUCUUGAGAAUAUGGAUCACAUGCAUGUGAAUGUGAUCAAACAUCUCACCUCUUCUUCCUAUAUGGUCUAGAUGGAGUGAAUUCCUUAGCAGGAGUUGACUUAGCCCAUCAUGUCCUACAUUCAUUCAUUGCCCUGGUUACUCUCUUUGAACCAUGCAAGUACAAUGCAUAUCAUCAAUAUCCAUCCAAGGGAAAUGCAAGACUUCAUACAGCAGUUUGGAUCCACUUUAAAGCUUGAUACUGUUAGCUUAAUUUUCAAGGCCGGUAGAAGAAGGAGAUAUUCUAUUGGCUCCUUUGUAGUCUAGGAAUUUAGUGGGAUCCAGCUUGUGAUGAUACCUAAGGCCCUAGUUUUUAUAUGUUAAAAAAUAAUCAUUGAGAUCAAAUAUAAUUUUAAAAAAAAUAUUUAAAUAGAAUUCUAGAAUGUGAGCUCCUUACGUAAUUCCCACAUUGAUCUAAGUUUCAAUGAACGUGAUGUUAUAAGCAUAUGCUUAACUAAGUCAAAUUUUGAUGGAUAUAAAAUUAUGAGAAAGCUUUCUAAUUAAAUGUACAAUGUUUGAAUCUCAAAAGUAACUUUUUGUUUUUUUUUUUUGGAAUAAAGUGCUCCUUAAGCCUAUAUUGAAAAAAGAGCAAAGCUCUUAUUUUUAUUAAAAACAGAAAGUUAGAUAGAUUUUAGUAUAAUAAAAUUUUAAAAAAGAUCAAAAUUAUCUUUAUUUUUCUUACACAAAACCUAUGUUCUUAGGAAGCAAUUUUGAAAACUUAUUUAAGUUUAAAAAAAAAAAUGCUCUUAAUUUUUUGUAAAACACUUUUAAAACAUGGUUUCCAAAUCUUUUAGGAUCUUUCUUUACAAAGCCUUUCAUCCACAACAAAGAUCAUAGACUCUUUAUCUCUUAAACUUUUGAUAAAGGUUUGAAGGAUUUGCUAAUGAGCAGAGGAUAAUGUUUGCAUUAGGGAUGUGUGUUAGUGUAUUAAGCAAUUUUAAUUAAGUUAGUAAUUUUAUUUCAUUCAUCUUGUUUAGGAUUAUACGUGUUUUCCUAUAAUUUACAUUCUUUUUAAGAUUCAAUGCUACUGUAUAAUCAACUUAGGAUUAAACAAGUAUGAUUGAGUUAAUUGAGAGUAAUGACAUAAAAAAUAUAAAGUGGACUUAUGAAAAUUUGGAAUAAAAUUAAUUUGAAAAGAAUUUUAAAUUGAGAAUUUAAAAAAAAAAAUCCAAAUAAUAAAAACAAUUUGGAAGGAAGUGUUUCUAAAUCUUUUUUAACUUAAAAAGAAAAAAAAAAUUCUUAGAGUUUUAAGUUUUCUAAAUGAUUUUUUAGUAAAAUAUGAAAUCUCUUCAAAUCUUACUAAAAUUCUUAAAUUUUCUAAAUUAGUUUUUCAUAAAAAAUGAAUUUCAAAUUCACUAGGUUUUCUGUAAUAUAUACAUAUUAGGAGAGUUCUCUCAAGAGUUCAUGAACCUAAACUUGUUAAGUCAUUAUUCUUUCUGCUUAACCUAAAACUUUCAAAAAGUUUGUAAUUCAUUUUCUUGGUUUACAAGAGAGAUUUGAAUCCGCUCAAGACGUUAAGAAGUCCACUAAGGAAUAUGAUAGUACUGUUGAAUAUGAGAUUAGGUGUAACUCCUAGGGACUAACAAAUGUUAAGUAAAUUUAAUUAUAUACCUCUUCUUCAUAUUUAAUGGAUCAUAACUCAACAUUAUUUGACUUUGUGAUUUAAUUUCUACACUUAUAAAAUCUUUGGGAGGCUUUGUAGAUGGUUUUCCAUAUAAAUCGUGGUUUGUUAGUGCAAUUGAAUUUUUCCACUUCAUCUCUAAUUAUUAAAGAGGAAUUUUAAAAAUAAAAAUUUGAGCUAAAAAGAAAGAAGUUCCUAUUCAACCCCCCUUUUUCUCUCUCUAGGUAUUCUAUUAAGAAGAUCUACAAACAUUCCGUUUGGUGUUAGAACAAGGAAAAAUUUAUAAAUUAAAAUUUUCUUCUAUUCUUAUCUUUGAUCUUGUUUUCAUAGAAUUUAAAGAAAAGAAAAAAAAAAGUUUACUUUUCCCUUGUGAAAAAGAUUUCAUGAUUGAGAAAUAUUGCCUAAAAAAAAUUGAAUAAAAAAAUUUAAGAAACAAGAAUUUCCGUAUGAAUCUUUGUCCCUUGAAUAAAAAAAAAAGAACAACAUGAAGUAAUUGUUAAAUUAAAUAAACAAAAAUUAUCACUUUCGAAUAAAGUUGUCUUUAUGGAAAAAGAAAAUUAUGAGUUUCAUAAAAAUGAAAAAUUAAAGUAAAAAAUUUCAAGAAAGAAUUAUCUCAUAGAAAAAAGUUAAUCCCCAGAAAAAUAAGAAAAUCAAGAAAGCUACUUAGAGUGAUUUUAAGUUAAGUAUAAGUAAAUCAUCGAAUUUGGGUGAGAUUAAAAAUAAUCAAAAUGAUUAUCUAGUUUUCAUUGCAUCUCUUGUUUCUAAUAAUUAUGAUAGAAGUGAUAGUGAUCUUGAUGAAAAUGUCUCUAUCAUCGAGGAAUGGUGUGAAGAAUAUCAAUUGUUAUUGAAUGAAUGCAUUAAGAUAACUACUACUAAUGAAUCUCUAAAAAAUGAGAAUUGUGUGUUAAAAGAAGAGGAAGAAAAUCAUCUUGAAAAUAUUCAUUUUCUUGAUAAUGAACAUAGAUUAUAAUAUUCUAUUUCUAGAAUUUUAAAAACAAAGAAAAGAAUUUAGAAAUAAAAUUUAGAAAGAAUUAAAGCUUUAUUAUCGUCCAUCACUCUCUUCUUUUGAAAUAUUACAUAAUAUUUAAUUUAUAGAUAUUCACACUUUGAUGGUGGAAAUUUGGAUUUUUUUUAUAAUGAAAUCAAUUAUUUAAUUUCUUGUUCAUAUAAUGGAUGUCUUCUUGUUAAUUGUAACCCUUUGUUGGGAUUGAGCCAAAUAUGGACAAGAAAUUAAUUUCUAGUUCAAAGCUUGAACGAAAGUAUGGGAAGCCCAAGCCUGGCCCGAAUUCAAUAUUACAAGAAGGCUCAAGCCGUUUACAUGGCUAAUCGAAGGUUCAUGUAGAGUUUAAAUCUGCCUCAAAACAAAGGCAAGCUCCCAAUAAUUAUAUAUAGCGCAUAUCUUUUGCAGUAAAGAAACAAAGAAAUUCAAAAAAUAAGGGGGGGAAAACAGUUUCAAAUUUGGUAUUACUGUGUGAAAAAUGACUGCAUGCACUCUUAGGCUACCUCUCAUCCCUUACAAAAGGAUCAAAUUCAAACCAUACACUCAAUACUAAUACAAAUCAAAUGCAAACUACACCUUUUAUUUCUUCCCCCAUUCACCAUCAACUCACUCUUACAAACACAUAAAUAUUCGAAUCAGGACAUGGGUCACCAUCAUAGGUUACAUGCCAUCUGAAUAUCUGGAACACAAACAUGGAGAAUCAGAACCCGGGCCUUUUUCUCAUCACCAGUCACUUUUAUUUAUUCUCUUACAUAUACAUCCCUCGUAUAAUCUAAUCAUUUUGAAAAUGAAAAAGCUUAAUUAAUUUUAUGCAUGCAGUCUGUUUGAUCUCUAGUUAUUUUUCCCAUCUCCACAGUCCAUGAGAUGCAGUCCACGGCCACCACCACGAGAGAAGAAAACAUGGACACCAGGCUCGUGGUUGGUGCAAGAGGCGUUCACGAGAAUGGAGUUGUUAACGGCUUGAACAUUGCUAUUCAUAAAUAUAUUCAAGAGUGGUGAUGGGGUCGCCAUUGUGUUGGAGUUGCCUUGGGGAUCGUGUUUCUUGCUGGCGGGGUUGAGCUCCAUUAUAGCUCCCUUGUUGUCUCCUGCAAUUGUUGUGAUCUUCAUGCUGUUAUCCUUAGAGUGCGCUUUCUUGUGAUUACCUUCGUGGUCUUUGCUCUCCAUGUCCUUGGUCUUCUCAAUCUUCUCGUAGUCAAGGACGCUGCUUGGCUUCACAGUGUCGCCCACAUCCUUUUGCAGUCCACCACUGGAUGGCUUGAAUGGUGGAUUGGGCUUUUCGAUGGUCAUGGUCUUCUGCUCAAUUGGCUCAGGAGUGGAUUUUACGUAGGCAGGAAGCAGAGUUAGAGUUGAUGGGGGAGGAGAAGUUGGUUUGAUUUUCUCAGAAGGAGGUGUGGUUUUCUGACUCGGAUUAGAUGGAACCGAUGAAACAUUCCCAACCCGGAAAGGUGGAGCUGCAGUAGCAGCAGUGGGUGGUUGUGGCGGAGGCUGCUGAGGCUGGGUUGUAGGCCUAAAUGCCUGACCAAAUGUGGGUCGAAAAAUAGGACGAGGGGCAGGAGGUUGAGGUUGAGCCUGAGCCUGAGCUGGUGAUGCUGCCGCAGGUGCUGGAGGUGUGGCGACUGGCCUCAUGGAACCCAGGAUGAGCCAUGGGCGAGAAGGGGGAGGCUGGUUUGCCAUAAUCCAAUAGAAUCAAUCUGAAGCAAGUAGCCCAAAUACUUAACCUGAACAAGAGAUCAAGGAAUUGGC